rnacentral:rRNA from 1 species
AGAGUUUGAUCCUGGCUCAGGACGAACGCUGGCGGCGUGCUUAACACAUGCAAGUCGAGCGGUAAGGCCCUUCGGGGUACACGAGCGGCGAACGGGUGAGUAACACGUGGGUGAUCUGCCCUGCACUUCGGGAUAAGCCUGGGAAACUGGGUCUAAUACCGGAUAUGACCAAGGACUGCAUGGUUUUUGGUGGAAAGGUUUACUGGUGCAGGAUGGGCCCGCGGCCUAUCAGCUUGUUGGUGGGGUAAUGGCCUACCAAGGCGACGACGGGUAGCCGACCUGAGAGGGUGACCGGCCACACUGGGACUGAGACACGGCCCAGACUCCUACGGGAGGCAGCAGUGGGGAAUAUUGCACAAUGGGCGAAAGCCUGAUGCAGCGACGCCGCGUGAGGGAUGACGGCCUUCGGGUUGUAAACCUCUUUCAGCAGGGACGAAGCGAGAGUGACGGUACCUGCAGAAGAAGCACCGGCUAACUACGUGCCAGCAGCCGCGGUAAUACGUAGGGUGCAAGCGUUGUCCGGAAUUACUGGGCGUAAAGAGUUCGUAGGCGGUUUGUCGCGUCGUUUGUGAAAACUCACAGCUCAACUGUGAGCCUGCAGGCGAUACGGGCAGACUUGAGUACUGCAGGGGAGACUGGAAUUCCUGGUGUAGCGGUGAAAUGCGCAGAUAUCAGGAGGAACACCGGUGGCGAAGGCGGGUCUCUGGGCAGUAACUGACGCUGAGGAACGAAAGCGUGGGUAGCAAACAGGAUUAGAUACCCUGGUAGUCCACGCCGUAAACGGUGGGCGCUAGGUGUGGGUUCCUUCCACGGGAUCU